GUGCCAGCAGCCGCGGUAACACGGGGGGAGCAAGCGUUGUUCGGAAUCACUGGGCGUAAAGGGCGUGUAGGCGGUCGAGUAAGUGGAAUGUGAAAUACUCCGGCUCACCCGGAGCACUGCAUCCCAAACUGCUCGGCUUGAGUAUGGGAGAGGACGAGGGAAUUCCUGGUGUAGCGGUGAAAUGCGUAGAUAUCAGGAGGAACACCGGUGGCGAAAGCGCUCGUCUGGCCCAAUACUGACGCUGAUGCGCGAAAGCUAGGGGAGCAAACGGGAUUAGAAACCCGAGUAGUCC
rnacentral:rRNA from 1 species